AACUCUGGAGAGUCUCAUGUAUGGAGCGCCGAAGGUGUACAGCACACAAUGUGCCAAUCUCUCAGGCAAAAGGACAGAGCA
rnacentral:ncRNA from 1 species